rnacentral:rRNA from 1 species
UAAGACCACGUAGGUUUGAUCCUGGCUCAGGACGAACGCUGGGCGGCGUGCCUAACACAUGCAAGUCGAACGGAACUUCUUUAAAGGAUUUCUUCGGAAUGAAUUUGAUUAAGUUUAGUGGCGGACGGGUGAGUAACGCGUGAGUAACCUGCCUCUAAGAGGGGAAUAACAUUCUGAAAAGAAUGCUAAUACCGCAUAAUAUAUAUUUAUCGCAUGGUAGAUAUAUCAAAGAUUUAUCGCUUAGAGAUGGCCUCGCGUCUGAUUAGCUGGUUGGUGAGGUAACGGCUCACCAAGGCGACGAUCAGUAGCCGGUCUGAGAGGAUGAACGGCCACAUUGGGACUGAGAUACGGCCCAGACUCCUACGGGAGGCAGCAGUGGGGAAUAUUGGGCAAUGGGGGAAACCCUGACCCAGCAACGCCGCGUGAAGGAAGAAGGCCUUCGGGUUGUAAACUUCUUUUACCAGGGACGAAGGACGUGACGGUACCUGGAGAAAAAGCAACGGCUAACUACGUG